UACUGUAUAUCCCCACAGAUCUGCAGGGCUGCACCUUUCUCUGAACAUUUUGAAUCAUAUGGUCUGAGACAAAGCACAGCAAGCACAUAAAGUAUCACAGUCUGACAAAGAUGUGACCUGGAGCGUGUCACGCUGUUGUUUCCUGGAUCUGGCGAAGAAAAAAGCCUUGUUUCUUUGAGUUAAGAGUUCCUGGGGGUCGCUGCUGGAGGUGUCUGCUGGUCAACAAAAGGGAGUGCUGGCUGAAUCAGACCUGCUUCAAAGGGGUUGACUGAUAACUGGACUGCGCCACGUUCACCUGGAUCAUGGCGAGGGUUGAUGUGUUUGUAGUUUGAGUUUUGUUGUUAUUUCUUUAACAAAUUAUUUUAUUGGCUCAUAACUUUACUGAAUAUUUUGUAAAUUGGUUGUUUAAUUUUGGUAAAUAAAAAUAUUUGAAAAUGUA